rnacentral:lncRNA from 1 species
UUUGAAAUUAAAUUCUUGUUCCAUGAUAUUAUUUUGAAGGCAUCAAUUUUGUCUACUUCAAUUGAUGAUACCUUUAAGAUGAUGAAAAUUUAUGCUGAUAUUAAAGAGGAUUUUAGAAUUCUUCUAUUUAUAUAUGUUGCAAUUCUUGCUUUUCAAUUUGUACUCUCUUUUCUAUAUAGUAUUGCAACAAUUAUAUUAUCAUCUAAUAUCAAUAUUUCCCUCAAAGAAUUUGUUUUAAAAAUCUCAAAGGCAUUUAAAUAUGCAUUUAUAACUAGCUUAUACACAAACAUGUUAAGUAUUGGUUAUCUUUUUAUUGUUUUAUUUUUAUUAAGUCCUAUUAUAAUUUCCUCUAGCAAUACUUUCCUUUUAUCUAUAGGAAUUUUUGUUGGAAUAAUUUCCUUCCUAUUUUUAAUAUAUUUAUCAGUUGUUUGGAUAUUGGCUUUAGUUAUUUCAGUAAUUGAAGAAGAUUUUUAUGGAAUUAAAGCCAUAGCAAAAGCUGGAAGACUCAUUAAAGGGAAUAGAUUAAAUGGAUUUAUGUUAAUUAUUUUAUUUUCUAUAAUUCCAUCAUUAUUGUACCUAUGUUAUUUGAAGAUUAAACCUAAUAAAUGGGUAAUUAACCAGAUGUAUAUGUCUAUAUUUCUGGUCAUUAUUUCUUCUUUGUUUAAUUUAUUGUCAUUAGUGGCAUAUACUGUGCUAUACUCUCAUUGCAAGAAGAACCAUGGAGAAGAGGAAGUCAAAUUGGAUGGGAAUUUUGAGUAUAGCAAAGUUUAAUAGAGGGAAUUAUGUUUUACCGUGUUAUAUAUUAUUAUAUUUUGGUUCGAGCUCUAGAAAUAAAGAUGAUUGGGAUCAUUCAAACAAGAUUUACCUUGCACAAGUCUGCGUUAGUUGAUUGAGUAAAUUUCAGAUAACAUGUGGUUAUAUGUAAUUUGUAUGUCAUUUUCUUACUAGCUAGUGCUUUGAUGCAUUUGGAUUUUGCGAAUUUUUCUUUUUCUUUUUAUGCAUUGAGCUGGUGUAAAUAUGUUUAUAAUAAUUGCUCUUCCAUCUCAAAAUCACUUGUUACAUUUUUUUUAGAUUUAAAUACUACAAACUUUGGUCAAUAUUUCAAGUAAAUUGAAUAUUAAGAUACUUUUCGUUUAGUUUUUGAAUGUCUAGCUUUUAUUUUAAGAUAUUAAAUUGGUCCUAUCAAUUUAACUUCAAAAUUAGUCAAAUUGACAGUACUUGAGAGCUGAAUUAUGACAAGUAUUGUUAAUUUGUUGGAAUAAGGGUCUGAAAAAUACUCCAACUUUGGUCGAAUUUGAUGUUGCGAUACUAAAAUUUUAUGAGGACCUAUUACCUCCCUAGAUUAUUUAAUACCGUAUUUUAAACAUAUAUAUUUGCCCACGUGGACAUAAAAAAUAAUGCAAAAUUAUAAAUAGUAAUGUGUUCACGUGAGCACAUAUAUACAUUUAAAAUACACUAUUAAAUAGUUCAGGAGGUAAAAAAUACACUAUUAAAUAGUCUAGAGAGGUAAUAGGUCCUCAUGAAAGUUUAGUAUCACAACAACAAAUUCGACCAAAGUUGAAAUAUUUUUCAGACCCUUAUCCCUAAUUUGUUUGAUCAAACUUUCAAAAUCUAUUUAUUUUGAAAAGUGCAUUUUGUCAGAAAUGUUUUUCGAAAAAGUACUUUUCACAAGCUAAAUUUUACUGCAUAUGAAAAACUGUUUUUACUGCCAUUUGGCAGGUAUGUAUUGGAUUGGUGUAUAUACUCGGUGCAUGUAAGUUUUACUUAACCUUAAUUAAUUAACAUGUGUUUUACUUCAUUAAAUCACAUAAUAAUGAAAAUUGCAUUAGUUUGAUGUAUACACCAGGUGUAGAUACGUUUUUUUCCGUUUAAUAGACUUAUCUCUUGAAAAUUAAGUUAAUUGUGAUUAAGACAAAACCAACUACGAAAUGGUCAAAAGAAUAUAGUCAUUAGUCAAUUAUAGUAAGUUUUAGGAAAUAAACAUCCAACGAACAAUUAUAUAUAUCAAUCUUGUUUGACAAGUUCCUCGAGGAAUUUCUUAUUAUAUACAAAUUAAAUUAAAUACACAUUGAUACUUUCUUCUUUUAUUUCAUACGAAUUUUUCGUACCAUUAAAGGCCGGAGUCCAUAAAAAUAAUCUUUUUAUACUCAUAUAGUUAAAAUAAAACUACGUACAUAUUAAUUAUUCUUAUUCAUAGAAUUAGUUUAAGUUCUAAAGUUAAAAUUGGAUUUUUGGUACCAUUAAAUGGAUGAUGAAUUGAUGACUGCUAAAAAUGUUCCAUGAGUAGAUUACUUUUUUUAUGUCUGAUUUUUAUUUUAUUUUUGGUCUCGAAAUUUUCAAUAAAAUCCCUACUAUAUUUGAUGGUAACGAGAAAAACAGAAUAAGGUCGGUUACAACGAGCCAACAAACAACAAAAUCAAAGUUUUCAUCCUUGUCAACAUGAAAAUAAUUUUAAAUAUAACAUAGCUUUUUUUUAUGUCUGAUAUUACAUUUUUUUUUAAAAAAUUCAUUAAAAGAAAAAAAUAUGACUUCUCUUAUUUACGAGUGGAAUAAUAUUUUUUGUGACAAUCUUAACUUUGUUUUCAUAUCUAAUAAAUCCUUGUAGUAGAUAAUGCUCUUGAUUUGUCUUCAAUCAGUUUAUCAGCCUAAGGCUUCGCUCUAUUACCUAUGUUGUAAGCUUUUCAGUUAUAAAUGUACUAGUGUUAAUAUCUAAUACUUAAAAAUUUCAUCAAAACACGCUUUAGUUUAAUAAUAUUAUUAAUCAUAUGAAAAAAUACAUUACAUAUAUGCAUAGGCAAAAUUAAAUAAAUUAUGUAAUAUAUAUUAUAUUGAAUCCCGUUAAUUUCUGCACAUACAUAUUUUUUAUACUUGAUUUUUACUAAUUAAAACUUUAACUCCUUUAUUAUAUAAUAAUGGGAAAAUGCAUAAGUACCCCACCUCAACCUAUGCCCGAAAUUCCAGAGACACACUAAUACUAUACUAAGGUCCUAUUACCCCCGAACUUAUUUUAUAAAUAAUUUUCUACCCUUUUCGGCCUACGUGGCACUAUCAACUAGAUAGCUUGAAAAAAUUAUCAACGCGUGCUGGGCGCAGAAGAUAGUGCCACGUAGGUCGAAAAAAGUAAAAAAUUAUUUAUAAAAUAAGUUCGAGGGAGGAAGGUAAUAGGACCUUAGUAUAGUACAAGUGUGUCUCUAUGAUUUCGGACAUAUAUUAGGGGGUACUUAUGCAUUUUCCCUAUAAUAAUAAACAUACAAAGAUGGAGUUAUUAAUUCAUAGAAUAGUCAAAGUUCCAUAGAAAUGUAUGCGGGAUAAGACAAAGUAUCUCCUACACUAUGACGUUGGAAUUUUAGAGAUAUAUCUUAACUAAACUAAGGUCCUAUUAUCCUAUCGAAUUUAUUUUUAUUUUUUUAUCAUUUUAUACACCUUUUGACUUAUGUGACACAACCCGGUGACUCCACGUAGUUGAAGCGCGUGAGAGAUGUUUGGAUGCCACGUAACCCAAAAAGGUAUACAAAAUUACAAGAAAAAUGGGUUCAGUGGUGGGUGGGGGAGGGUAAUAAAACCUUAAUUUAGUUAAAAUGUGUCUCUGAAAUUUCAAUCAUAAUCUAGGGGUACUUGUGUCGUAUCGGUGAAAGAUUUUGACUAACUUAUAAAAUAGGAAUUACAGCCAACUUCUUGUACUCUACGCUUCAGUUCAUAGAAUAUUAAAAUAUUGUUGACUCAGUACACAUUUUAAUAUUUUUACUAUUUAAAUAAACUUGAAUGGAGUUUUAUGAUACCAAUAAAUUAAAUAUCUUACACAUUUUAAUAUCUCACCAAUCAAACAUAGAAGCAAUAUUUAUAAAUAGAAAGCUCAUCAUUCUAUUGUUGAAUCCAAACAAAAAGAAUAGACUCAUAAAAUUAUUAAUGGAGUUUUAUCAUAUUUUUGGGUUUCUCUUAAUUCUCAAAGAAUCCCUUCAAUUAAUUCCAAAAAAUGGAAAACUAUUUGCAUUAACAUGUUUUCUUCAUAUUCUAUUUUCUUUCACCCUUUUAUCAAUCUUGAAUUUUGAACUUAAAUUCUUGUUCCAUGAUAUUAUUUUAAAGACAUCAAUUUUGUCUACUUCAAUUGAUGAUACCUUUAAAAUCAUGGAAAUUAUUGCUGAUAUUAAGGAGGAUUUUAGAAUUUUUCUAAUUAUAUAUGUUGCAAUUCUUGUUAGUCUAUCUUUAAUCUCUUUUCUAUACACAAUUGCAACAAUUAUAUUAUCAUCUAAUAUCAAUAUUUCUCUCAAAGAACUUGUUUUAAAAAUCUCAAAGGCAUUUAAAUAUGCAUUUAUAACUAGAUUAUACACAAACAUGUUAGGUAUUGGUUACUUUUUUAUUGUUUUAUUUUUAUUAAGUCCUAUUUUAAUUUCAUCUAGCAAUAUUUUCCUUUUCUCUAUAGGAAUUUUUGUUGGAAUAAUAUCUUUCCUAUUUUUUCUAUAUUUAUCAAUUGUUUGGAUAUUGGCUUUAGUUAUUUCAGUAAUUGAAGAAGAUUGUUAUGGAAUUAAAGCCAUAGAAAAAGCUGGAAGACUCAUUAAGGGGAAUAGAUUAAAUGGAUUUAUGUUAAAUAUUUUAUUUUCUAUAAUUUCAUCAUUAUUGUACCUAUGUUAUUUGAAGAUUAAUAAACCUAAUAAAAGGGUAAUUAACCAGAUACUUAUGUCUAUAUUUCUGGUCAUUAUUUCUUCUUUGUUUAAUUUAUUGUUAUUAGUGGCAUAUACUGUGUUAUACUCUCAUUGCAAGAGGAACCAUGGAGAAGAGGAAGUUGAAUUGGAUGGGAGUUUUGAGUAUAGCAAAGUAUAAAAGAGGGAAUUUGUCAUAACAUUUUGAUUCGAGUUCUGAGAAUGAAGACAUCCUUAUUUAAUUAGGAUCGUAUCGAGCAUUUUCCUCUAAAAGGAGACUUGUGCUGCACAAAUCGAUGGAGUGGAUUUCAGAUAUCAGAUGGUGAUAUAUAAUUUAUUUAUCAUUUUCUUAGUAGUGCUUGAUGCAUUUGGAUUUUGCUCUCUUUUUUCUUUUUAUGUAUUGUGUUGGGAUAAAUGUUGUUAUAACAAUUACUCUCUUGUUCAAAUUACUUGUCAUCUUUUUUACAGAAUCAAAUUAUAUAAACUUUGAUAUAUAUUAUUGCAUCUAAUAUUACUUUACGUGUAGCUUUCAAACA